UAGGCUCAUGUGUAUGAAUGUGUGGUUCC
rnacentral:piRNA from 1 species